rnacentral:lncRNA from 1 species
AGUGCAGCUGCAGGAAUGACUCCCUCCGCCGGCGCCAAACACUAACAACCACCCCCUCUUCCCCACUCCACUUCCGCCACCGCCGCAGCCGCCGCUGCCGCCACUUGGGCUCGCGUCCUCGGCCGCGCCGCGCGGCACCCGGGCCCAGCAGCCGGGAGGCGGCAGCUCUCCUCUACGCCCGUCCCCUCAGGGCGGCUGUGGAUGUUGCCAGUAUUGUCGAUGCUUCAGAGCGACGUUUGCCCUGCGACACAGGCGGGCCGGCUCUCCUCUGUCUUUAUUUUCCUGGAGGCCGACAGGAGCGGGGCCCGAGUUCGGUGGUGGUCGUGAGCGUGGGGGGCACUCAGGCCCGGACGGGCUCUCAGGUCGCCGACGGCGGCGGCUGGAGGCCGCGCUGGCUGUCCCAGGUCGUCGUUAGCUUUAGGGAGCCGAUCUCCGGGCGGCCCCACAGAGGACGCCCGCGAUUCGAUGGCGAUGAUGCCCGUUUUAAAUGGUGUCCCUGCAGCCGGGUGGAUGGAUGGAUCGUACACCUUGCCUUUUGAGAGCCGGGACCUUACGCCCGACUGCGUGUUAUUUCUGCGAAUAAGAACGCAACCUUUGGAGGUGAAGACGACUGUCGGCUGGAUUGAAUUGGAAUCGUGUUUGUGAUGAUGCGUUUAUUUCUGGAAAUACGCGGUCUCCGCUGCUUUUGCUUUUUGUCGGCAGAGGUUUGGGUUCUUCUCUAACGGUCAGGAUAAAGGCCUGUAGGCGACGCUGCGCGAGCGAGAAGCUCGCCCGCGGCUGCCCGGGCGCCCCCCUCUAGGUGUGGGUGGAGCCGAGCGCGCGGGGAGAACCGCCGGCCCCGACUCAGCCACCGGUGACUGCGGGCGACCCGCGGGCCUGCGGCCAGCUGAUUUCAAACAUCGUUUUCCUCUUUAGGUUCGGAAAACUGAGGCGCUGGACAAGGCUGGAAUACAAUAUGUGAUUAUACGUACAGUACUAUGGUUGUUGUAGUUUUUAAAUUGUAAAACAAGAAGUAACCAUUGUUCCACCGUUCUCUAUUAAGUUUGUGUAAAUUAAAAAGGGGCUAUUUUCGGUAAAAAGUGCAGUAGGUAAGCGGAAUUUUACUCAACCGGGACGAAAUUCGUGUUAUAUGAAUUGUAUUGUGUAUUUGUGUGUGUACCAGUGCGCUAAAAGUAAGUAGGAAAACUUGCUUAGAUUAUUCCUUUUGCCUCAGGCCACUCAGGGGGCCAAGAUCCUGUCACUCCUUUUCUCUAGGCCCUGCGAAUGGCUUCCCGUCUUGAGGGGAGUGAGCCAAAGCCUUGACUGCGGCAGAAGUCCCCGCGCGCCGUUGAGGGUGGGGGCGGGCCUGCCCUGGCAUCCUUGCGAGUAGGACUCUUCCCUGAGCGUCGUCCACAGGGCUUGCUCCUUCACCUUCAGGAUUUUGCUCGUGUCACUCGGUGCUUCCGCGGCUACUUUUAAACUGAAAGUUCCCUAGCCCCCUUCUCAUUUUAUCCUUUGGACAGUCUACAUAUCCAUACUUGUUUAUCUUCUUAUCUCUCCUUCCCCAGUGCAAUGUAAGCUCUAAGAGGACAAGAGGUUGUGUUUUUCUGCACUGGUGUUACGGCCCCCGCCUAGAAUGCCACACAGUAGAUGCGUAGUAUGUGGUUAAGGAAUGAAUGCGAUUAUAAGGGCCUUGAUGCUCCCCCAUUUCUGUCUUUAAUAUGUACUUAUAUGCUACAGAGAGCUUUAUAAAAGAUUUAAAACACGUUUAUUACAGAAUUCUAUAAAAAUAUAUUGCUUCUAAACAUUGGAAAGCCCUCCACAACACCAGAAACCCACAAAUGAGGGAUAAAAUUUGUUUUUAGGCUUCUGUAAAUGAGCAUGCCCGAGGACAGUGCAUCAAAUGAUCAUAUCCAUACUGGGCCGAUUAUGUUUGCUCUUCUGAGUCUCAAACUGCAUUCUUCAUCUUGUCGUCCUCUGUCUUUCAAAAUACAUUAAAAGUGAGAAUUUGGUUGGCUCAGAGCAAAUCCAGCACUAUUGGAAAAGUUCAUUCAGCAAGUAUUUAUUGGGCACAAAUGGGUACCAGGCACGCUAAUUCAAAAGGUGUGUGUUUCUGAGGCUAGAAGGCCUUACAUAAAGGACCACAUGUGGCUACUUUGGUUGCUACUCAAUUAUGCUGUCAAGCAAAGCAAAUGCUAGUGAAAUUUAUUUUUAGUUUUCUUCUGAAGAAAAGGUUCAAUGAAAGCUGAGGUCAGGCUUGGUGUGGAUAUUUUAAUUCACCAUUUAGUUUGCUGUUUGCUUACACUUAGGUUAGCAUUAGAUAUACUUAAUCAUGAUUUUUGAGUACUAUAAAACGUGAGAAAUCUUAUUUCCUAGUGGCUGGAAAAACAGGCUUUUUAAAUUAAAAUAAGUAAAUAUAUCAGUAAGCUAGAAGCUAUGCAAUAAGGCUUUGGCUAUGGUAUUACAAAUUUUCAUAUUUCAUGUAUUGAAUUUUUGGACAAGAAAAGACAGCCUUGAUAGGUAUUUUAUAACCAUUAAUACAAUUAAUCAAACAUUGUUUAGUAAAUCCAAUCGUCUAUUCAUUAUUAUUUUUCCCAUUAAUCUUCAGAACAGCUUUAAGUUAAUACAGAUGACUCAGAAUGUGUUUUUCACUCAGUUUCAAAAUACCAUUAUUUCAAUUCGCUAAUAGAAGCACAAUUAUCUUCUUGUCUGCUUUCUUAAAUGUUACUGGUAAACUAGUAAUUUUGCAUGUCCAGGUAACUGCAGCUGCUACAGUCAAUCUGCUUUGGAAAGUCUUGGCAUUAUUGUGUCAUUUAAUUUAAAAUUUUUAAGUUUUUUUAGUUUCUUCCCUUAUUGAGGACUUAUUAGGCGCUAAUUAGCUUUAUGCUAGACAUCUCAUGCAUGGCAGUGAAUGAAAACAACACUGCCUUUGAGGGUUUUAACUUGUAUAUAGUUUAUACCAUUUUUUUUCCAGGUUAUAGAAUCAAAGAAAUUGUUUCAAUUCAUAUCACAGUAUUUCUCUAUUAAAUCAAAUGGUAUUUUGCUUGCAUAAAUUUAAGUAUCCAAGUUGAGAUCUUACAUAGAAUCUGUUAAUCUAAUAUUAGUGUUUUCUUCAUUUCAUUGUCUUGGGUUUUUUUUUCUUAAUAAUUAUUUUUCCCAAUACCAUCCAUUUGUUUUGCUCUUACAUUUUUAAGUCUUUUAUGUUCCAAAUCAGGUGACUUACAUCCUCCACUUGUCCAUUGAGGAUAGCCCAGUAAACCUUUAUUCUGACUUUAAAUUGCCUCCUUGCUUCAAGAACUGAGUUGCAUGACUCAGUUUUCUUUGCUAGAAAUAUCCCUGGAUAGUCUCGUAUGUAUUCUUGAUCAAUGAAUUGCAGAAGAUUUGAUUAAAAAUUUUAAAUGGAUUUCAGGGAUAAACUAUUUGUAUCAAAUGUCAUCACCAGGAAUUUCUACAACUGAAAAAUUUGAAUUGUUAUUUUUAUUGAAGAAUAUUUAUCUUUAAGAUAAAUGCAACUUGCUAUAAAAUGAUAGAAAUGAAAAAUUUUAGAAAAUCAUUUUCUACUCACUAUUUUAUGCCUGCCAGUUAUCCUUUGUUAGUGAUAAAAUUGUCUUUUAUGGGAACGAAUUUGUUAAAGGUAGAAAAAAAACUGGUAGUGUAUGUAUGUUUUAUAGAUUAGACACUACCAAAAUUAUUUAACAUUUAGAAUAAUUAACUUGCUUUCAGGAUGACAGAUGACUUAAGAAACUGAUGAAGGGUUAAUUAAGGAUAUUGAUUUUUAGGGCAGAACUACAAAAUUAUCAAAUCACUUAACACUGUAAAUAUGUUCCUGUUUCAGGUUUUCAAAGUAAAUACCUUAAUCAAAUUUGGAAAUAGUAUUUAUGGAUUUUAUUCAACAUAGAUUAUCUAUUUUGUUAAAAUUAUAGAAAUGAACAGUUCUUUUCCCAUGGAUGCCUUUUUUCAUCUUGGCCUAUUCUGAUCCUUUAAGAACAAGCUUUGUCCUUUCAUUAAUACUUCUCACCUAUAAUUACGAAUUUUCUCUAAACUUGUAGAUUUUAUUAUCCAUGCCAUCUAUUUAUAAUCCUAUGACACUCCUAUAUUGUUUAUGGUUUUUUUGUUUUUUUUUGUUUUUUUUUUUAGACGAAGUCUUGCUCUGUCACCCAGGCUGGAGUGCAGUGGUGCAAUCUCGGCUCACUGCAAGCUCCGCCUCCCGGUUCACGCCAUGCUUCUGCCUCAGCCUCCCCAGUACCUGGGACUACAGGCGCCCACCACCACGCCCGGCUAAUUUUUUGUACUUUUAGUAGAGAUGGGGUUUCACCGUGUUAGCCAGGAUGGUCUCCAUCUCCUGACCUCGUGAUCCCCCGGCCUCGGCCUCCCAAAGUGUUGGGAUUACAGGCGUGAGCCACUGUGCCUGGCCUUACUGUUUAUGUUUUCAUGCAUCUAUACCUUAUGUUACUAAAUCAAAGUGACCAGUUCCACAUUAUACUACAAGUUUCACUGUGUAAUGCAUAAGAAUUACACAGAGGGAAGGGCCUCAAAAAAUGCACUUCUGAAGUAUUUUAAUGUAAAAUUAUUUAAGACCAUAAAGUUUCAUGAAAGCCUAAUCUUUCUGGAACCUACACAUACUCUGCAUGUGAACCAGAGUUAAACUAGUCAAGUAUUUUAAUACUGAACUAAUCUGGAAAAACAUCAUUUAAAAAAUUACUGUAUUUAUGAAGGAAGAAUAUAAAAUCUGUUAAAAACUUAAAACAUCUAAAAUAGGUAUGAAGAGAGGCUUAUGGUGCUCAUUUUAACAGCAUUCUUGAGUAGGUUACCUUGCAGUCAAAGCAUCUGCUCCAGACCAGUGUUUUAAACUGUGGAUUAUGGUACCACUAUGGGUCAUGAAAUUAAUUUAUUGCAUUAUGACUAGCAUUUUUUAUUUAAAAUAGAGAAAAGAAUAGAAAAUAAAAGCGUACAUCACAGAUGGUAAGGGUAUGUGUUUUUAAGUAAACAUUUGUUCAUGUGUAUAUGUGUUAGAUUACCUUGUAAAACAUAUUCCUUAUUGUGGGUUACAGGCCAAAAAAAGUGUUUGUUUUUGUUUUUAAAAAUCUACAGUUCAGAUUUUCCUUAGAAAAUGGGGAAAAAAGGAAUGUUAGAAAGAUCUGACUGCCUAUGAACUAGUGAAGGAUUUUAGAGGAAGUACCAGGCUAUUUUAGAGAUCUGAUACUGGUUUCAGAAAGGUAAUCUUAAGGCAAAGGGUAGGAAAUAAAGUUAUGUUGUUAGUAGAAAUGUCAAAUACGGUUAAAGUUGUGAGGAGGAAUUAUUUUCCUAGUGGACCUACAUUUGUUGUGUGUAGAUCUGUGACUAUUACUGAUCUGUUGUAGCACAUUUUCCAAUCUAAAAUGUCCGAUACAGCACAAUAAUAAACAUGGGGCAGAAUAUAUGUUUGUUUCUAUUUCUUCCCACCUUCCCUUCAAUCUUAAAACAAGUGUUUAUUAAUAAGUCAGACCAAAGCAAAUUUCUAUCUUUCACAGAGUAAUUAUCAUAGGAACAAAUUACUCCCUGAAAAUGGUGGAAACUUCUUUCUCCCUCCGAAAAAUAAACUUUCAAUAAGUGUUUUCUCUCUAGCCAAAGUAAAUAAGUUCUUAAAUAGGUAACUCUCAUUUGCCAUCCAACUCAUUCUAUAUAUUUAAAUAAAUGUACUUACACUUGUGUAUAGGAUUUAAAAGGGGGAAACUUAAGAAGGAAGAAAUUGUGUAUAGAAUUUAAAAAGGAGGCAUUAUAUUGCAUGAGUAGAAUGAAAAGUAUCUAACCAGAAAGCAAAUAAGUUAAGGAUUAUAUUAUACUGAAAUAUUUUAAUACAAUUUAAAUAUUUCAUUACUCUUUCACUUUAUUUGCUAUUUGUAGAUUUCAGUAUUGUAAUGUUGGCAAGUCUAUUUAAGACGGCAUUAAUAAAAAUUUUGUUUUUCAGGCAUGUGAUACCAAGUCCCUUUCCAUUAUAGAUAAGUAAGGCCUAGGUUGGUUAAAACCUUAGCUAAACACAAAAUUUGCUAGAGAAUCAACAUAUAAGAAGCUCUAACUCCAAGCUUAUUCACCCCAGAUAUUUCACCAAUGUUAACACAUACCCUAUUGAACUAAGAAAGGAAUUAUAUUACUAACCAGCAGAGGGAGCCAAGUCAAUCAUGAAAGGUAGGAGUAUAAAGGAACAUCAUAUGACUUCCUGUUUUGAAUUUAACUGUAUGGCCCCUGCUCACUUUUUGAGUUUACCAAAAAGACAGUCAUAAGGAGAGAAAGGCGACCAAUGUAUCAAAUAAGGAUACAGUGACAAUUAUAACUUAGAAUUACCUUGCAGGAAAUAAAUUGGAAGAAAAAUUGAAUGCAGAACUAUACAAGUGAAAUGUCUCAGUAUUAUAACCCAAGAUGGAAAAACCAUGGAAAACAGUACCUUAAUGCCAUGAUGAAUUGCUAGCCAAAUGUAACAGUGAAUAUUUCUUAAUAAUUCCAUUUUCACUUAAAGUUGAAAUUAGGCCAUAAAUAGACACAUUUUAAAACUAUAAAGUUGUACAUCAAAUUUAUGUGCAUUUAAUCUAAGAAAUAAGGGAUAAAAUUUAAUAAAAAAUUAUUACAGUGAAUUAAUAAGGACAUGAUUUUUCAGCUUAAAAUUAGAGAACAGAAUUGUUUCCACUACUGUUUAUAAACACAACAAAUAAAGUAAUAUCUGUUUUGUGAGAGAUGUUUGGAGGAAUCUAGUAGCUAAGUGAUUAUGUCAGUUUAUUUAAUUUUGUCUAAGAACUUCAAAAUGCCUGAUAGAAUGGGUGCAUAUUGAAUGAAUAGAUGUGAUCUAUAUAUUAUUUGAAGUAAAAGUAUAAGAGCUGAGCGUUAGCUAACUGCAUCAAAAUAAAUGUAAAGACCCAAACAUUUUUAGUUGAAUAACCAAAUGAAUUAGCUAGUCUAGCCCCUUACUCGUUUCAAGGUUUGUGGAAACAUACCAUAUAUACUUUUACUCAUGUGUUUAUUCCUUUCAAAAAUAUACUUCUUAAGCACUAUCUCCAUAGGACGUGGAGCAUAUCUUCAUUAUGAAGUAGACAAACUUCUUAAAUUUUAUUGAAAGAUUUAAUUUCAUUGAUAUAUGAACAAUCAUACAAAUUCAGUAUGCCACCAGUGAUUUCAAGAAAGUGAUACUUAGAAGCAAAUCAUUUAUGGGACUAGACUGCCUUUGUAGGACUAACAAAUUAGGCACAAGAUUAGAAAUUAUAGUUUAAUAGUCAUGCAGCUGGAGGCUACACGAUUCUGACCCUCCCUAACCUGCUCCUAAGAUCAGUGCUUGAGAUAUUCUGCAGACCCUGCACUUGAUGGAUCAGCUGGCACCACCCAGAUCAAUAAACUGGCUCAUCUGAUCUUGUGGCCACCACCCAGGAACUGAUUCAGAGCAAGAGGACUGCUUCAAUUCCCUAUGAUUUCAUCUCCAACCCAACCAAUCAGCACACUCUAUUCACUUGCCUUCCCCCACCCACCAAAUUAUCCUUAAAAACUGAUCCCCAAAUGCUCCAGGAGACUGAUUUGAGUUAUAAUAAAACUCCGAUCUCCAGCCAAAAAAUAAAAAAUAAAAAGCAAAUUAUUUGAUUUUGAGUACUAGAAAGUAGACUUUAAACUUUUUGAAGGGUAUAUUCUUUUAUAAUGCUAUAUUAUACUGGCAUUAUUUUAUAAAUUGGCAUUUGGUGUCAAGUCAGUUAAUCACAGCGAUAAUAUCCAAGAUGUACAGCUCAUCAGUCCUAGAGACAUUUUUUUUUGUUUGUUUAAGACAGAGUCUCUGUCACCCAGGCUGGAGUGCUGCAGUGGUGCGAUCUCGCCUGCCUCGGCCUCCCAAAGUGCUGAGAUUACAGGCGUGAGCCACUGCGCCCAGCCUAGAGACAUUUUAAUGCCAAAAAACCCUCAAUGCCACCAGUAUUACUACUUCUAAUUAUUUGUUUCCUUUACACACGAGUUGUGAUGAAUAUGGGCUAUUAGAAUUGCAUAAACAGCCUAAGCUUUUAAAUGUUUCCACUCAUGAAAAAUAGCUAUUAUGAACUUUUAAACAUUAAAUUAAUAAAGUGCAAUAGCUUUACCAUGAACUAUUCCUUAUUGAUAAACAUAGUAAUGGGUUAACUCAUGUCAAAGUCCAAUAAAAACUAGUAACUUUGUCACCAAAGUCAACAUUUCAGCAUCUAUGAUAUGUAGUAUAGGUAUUUCUGUUUUAUCUAGUUUUCAUUUAAUAAUCUAAAAGAUUCUGGCCGGGCACGGUAGCUCACGCCUGUAAUCCCAGCACUUUGAGAGGCCGAGGGAGGCAGAUCACGAAGUCAGGAGAUAGAGACCAUCCUGGCUAACAUGGUGAAACCCCGUCUCUACUAAAAAUACAAAAAAUUAGCCGGGCGUGGUGGUGGGCGCCUGUAGUCCCAGCUACUAGGGAGGCUGAGGCAGGAGAAUGGCGUGAACCCGAAAGGUGGAGCUUGCAGUGAGCCGAGAUUGCACCACUGCACUCCAGCCUGGGCGACAGAGUGAAACUCCGUCUCAAAAAAAUAAAUAAAUAAUAAAUAAAUAAACUCAAAAACCAAACAAAGGCUGGUGAGAAAAUAGCUCAUUUCUUGUCUUAUUCCAGAGUAAGGAGUGGUGACAGAUUAGGAAAAGCAUCAAAAAAGUGGCUUCCAGUGAACAAAAUCAGGAAGUUUGAGUAAAGAAUUUCUCUUUUGCUAAAAACUUAAAUAUAAAAGUUUAGUCAGGAAUUUGUACCCACACAUGUAUACUGCUUUUAACAUUUUUCUCUAGACAUUUGAAAUAUUUUAUUUUCUCUUUAAAAAAGCAGCACCAAAACCUAAAUUUAAUAGUAAUGUUUCUGAUUUAUCAGCUUCUUUCCAUCUUACACUGUUGAAUUCUGUACUGCUUCUAAAGCACCUACAAUUAACUCUACAAGAACUGCACAAUUAACACUCGGCAUUGCCUUCUUCCUAAUUCUAACAUCGACAUUCAUCAGCUUUCUCCAAUACAGUCAGAUGAUUCCUUAUAAUCAUAUCUAGCCAAAUGAUGUAACUUUUGCUUGAUGUAUGGGAAAAUAGCUUACAUUAUGAAUUUAGAAGAGCUAUAGUAGUAUUUGACAAUAUAGAUGGAAAAGUAUUUUUAAUUUAAAGAACAUAUUGCACAUCUUUCAGAAUUUCUGUAAAAACUUUUGAAUGUCCAUUUUGGCUAG